rnacentral:rRNA from 1 species
UACGAGGGGGGCAAGCGUUGUUCGGAAUUAUUGGGCGUAAAGGGUGCGUAGGCGGCGCGGUAAGUCGGGUGUGAAAUCUCGGGGCUUAACUCCGAAACUGCAUUCGAUACUGCCGUGCUUGAGGACUGGAGAGGAGACUGGAAUUUACGGUGUAGCGGUGAAAUGCGUAGAUAUCGUAAGGAAGACCAGUGGCGAAGGCGGGUCUCUGGACAGUUCCUGACGCUGAGGCACGAAGGCCAGGGGAGCAAAACGGG